rnacentral:rRNA from 1 species
AGAGUUUGAUCCUGGCUCAGAACGAACGCUGGCGGCGUGGAUUAGGCAUGCAAGUCGAACGAGAAAGUUCCCUUCGGGGAGCGAUUAAAGUGGCGAAAGGGUGAGUAAUAUAUAGAUAAUCUGCCCUUGAGACGGGGACAACUUCGGGAAACUGGAGCUAAUACCCGAUAAUAUUGCUUUUCUUAUGAAUUGCAAUCAAACGUUAGGGUCCUUCGGGGCUCCUUCGCUCAUGGAUGAGUCUAUAUCCUAUUAGCUUGUUGGUAAGGUAACGGCUUACCAAGGCGAUGAUGGGUAGCCGGCCUGAGAGGGCGACCGGUCACACUGGAACUGAGACACUGUCCAGACUCCUACGGGAGGCUGCAGUCGAGAAUCUUCCGCAAUGGGGGCAACCCUGACGGAGCGACGCCGCGUGGACGAUGAAGGCCUUCGGGUUGUAAAGUCCUGUCAAGAGACGAGAAAUGCAGGCGGUUAAUAGCCGGCCUGCUUGACAAAUCUCUAGAGGAAGUCACGGCUAAAUUCGUGCCAGCAGCCGCGGUAAGACGAAUGUGGCAAGCGUUGUUCGGAAUCACUGGGUUUAAAGGGUGCGUAGGCGGUCAGAAUAGUCGGAUGUGAAAUCCCUCAGCUCACCUGAGGAACUGCGUCCGAAACUGUCUGGCUUGAGUACGGAGGAAGAGAGCGGAAUUCUAGGUGUAGCGGUGAAAUGCGUAGAUAUCUAGGAGAAGACCAAUGGCGAAGGCAGCUCUCUAUUUCGAUACUGACGCUGAGGCACGAAAGCUAGGGGAGCGAACGGGAUUAGAUACCCCGGUAGUCCUAGCCCUAAACGAUGAGCACUAGGUUGGGGGGAUUCAAAUCUUCUCAGCCGUAGCAAAAGCGCUAAGUGCUCCACCUGGGGAGUACGGUCGCAAGAUUAAAACUCAAAGGAAUUGACGGGGGCUCACACAAGCGGUGGAGGAUGUGGUUUAAUUCGAUCAACGCGAAGAACCUUAUCCUGGUCUUGACAUGCUGGGAUUAAUCCUGUGAAAGCAGGAGGAUUGCCCAACCGGGUGUAACCAGCACAGGUGCUGCAUGGCUGUCGUCAGCUCGUGUCGUGAGAUGUCGGGUUAAGUCCCUUAACGAGCGAAACCCUUGUCUUUAGUUGCCAGCGGAUCAUGCCGGGGACUCUAGAGAUAUUGCCGGUGCAUAAACCGGAUGAAAGAGGGGAUGACGUCAAGUCCUCAUGGCCUUUAUGACCAGGGCUGCACACGUCCUACAAUGGGUUGUACAGAGAGAAGCAAUACCGCGAGGUGGAGCAAAUCUGGAAAAGCAACCCCAGUUCGGAUAGCAGGCUGCAACUCGCCUGCUUGAAGUUGGAAUCGCUAGUAAUCGCAGGUCAGCACACUGCGGUGAAUAUGUUCCUGAGCCUUGUACACACCGCCCGUCAAGCCAUGAAAGCAGGUAGUACCCGAAGUCGCUGAUCUAACCCUUUAUUGGGAGGAAGGCGCCGAAGGUAAGACUUGUGAUUGGGACUAAGUCGUAACAAGGUA